GCUUACGGCCAUACCAGCCUGGGUACGCCCGAUCUCGUCUGAUCUAGGAAGCUAAGCAGGGUCGUGCCUGGUUAGUACUUGGAUGGGAGACCGCCUGGCAAUACCAGGUGCUGUAAGCA
rnacentral:rRNA from 1 species